CCCGUUGUUCUCCCACUGGAUCCGCUGCCUCCAGGCGGCGGGGGGCGGCGGGGGAUCCCGGCGCGGCGGCUGCUGCUGGCAGCCGGCGGGCCAGAGGCAGCUCCAGUAGAUGCACGCGUGAAGCUGGGCGAGCAGGAGCCCCGGCGGCGCGAAACGCAUCUUCUCCUCUUUCGUGGGCGCCGGCGGGUUGCCUGAUUACACCAGGUUUUUACAUGAUGGGUCUGAAUAGACCAUCAAAAAGCUCUGUGACCUGAGGUGUGGAGGCAAAGAUUUCUGCAAUACUGAAAAAAGACACAUAAGCAAGUCAGAAGGUGCCUUAAAGGACCCAGGAGACAACGCGGAGGCACCAGGCGCCACCACAGACUCCUGCAGGCACCUACCCUUCCCUUCCACUGCUGGAUCAUGUUCUAAGGCAGCCAAGUGCAUCAGCAACCUAGGCUGUCUUCACAUCCUCUCUCACUCAGUCUUCAGACUCCACAUCACUCACCUCCUCUGUAACAUUCAGAACCAGAUUUCCUUCACAGCAAACUGAGAUACAAACAUC